UCCGUUUAUAACUUCAAUCACAUCUUUCUCCGUUUUAGUUUGAUAUGUUUUCUGAAAAAUGUAUGAUGAAUAAUGAUAGAUUGUCUCUUCUUUCAGAACACAACUUACCAAGGCAUAUAGACUGCUAAUGUUCUUUUUGAAGUUUUAAAGGCUGUUAACAUGACCCAAUCUAUGGAAGUUGAUCGAGAGACUUUGGAGACACGAGAUAAAAUUGGUGAAAAGACGGAGAUCAUAGUCCCUUUCAAUGUUCUUCCGCUCGAUCCUGAUAGUGCAAAUCAAGUGAUAAUGAGAUUUCCCGAGAUCCAAGCUGCUGUAUUUUCUCUUCAUAACACUAGGGGUAUCUAUACACAUGGGUGAGAUUCUAGCCCAUUUAACAUGAUAUCGAAACUUGAUUUUGCUAUAAUAAAAAUUAUAGUCUUUUGAGUUUGCUUUUUGAAUUGCAACUUAUAACUAUACAU